CUACCAUCUAAUCCGGAGGCCACGGCUCAUCACCCAUGGCUUCCAUCCUACGCGUCGCGCCUUUCCUCUACCCUCGCCUCGCCCGUCUCGCUCGCUUCCCCAGCGCACUGCCUUCAAGAUUCCUGACUCGAAGAGUCUUCGCUGCCUCUCGCUUCUCCUCCACCUCGCCGUCUUCGGUCUCUCCUUCUCCGCCGCCGCCGCCGGAAACCCUACCUUCCGAUUCCCGGUCCGAAGCUCCGACGAGUUCUCCGCUGCAAUGGGUCUCAAGAACAGCGUUCUGCGGCGACCUUGGGGUUGAGGACGUCGGGAGGCGCGUCCGGCUCUGCGGCUGGGUAGCCCUCCACAGGGUUCAUGGCGGCCUCACCUUCCUCAACCUCAGGGAUCCCUCUGGGAUCGUUCAGGUUACGACGCUUCCUAAUGAAUUCCCGGAUGCCUAUUCUACUGUGAACAAGCUGAGGCUUGAGUAUGUAAUCACUGUCGAAGGGAUUGUCCAGGCUCGGCCAAAAGAAUCCGUAAAUAAUAAGAUGAAGACCGGGGCUAUAGAGGUUGCUGCAGAGCAUGUUAUAGUAUUAAAUUCUGUAAAUCGUGCGUUGCCUUUUCCAGUUACUACUGCAGAUGAUGUAAAAGAUAUUAUUACCGAGGAGAUCCGUUUGAGAUACCGGUUCCUUGAUUUACGUCGGCCACAAAUGCAAUCCAACCUGAGGUUGCGGCAUAGGGUGGUCAAGCUACUUCGGCGGUAUUUGGAGGACAAACAUGAUUUUGUGGAGAUUGAGACUCCAAUACUAUCUAGAUCCACACCUGAAGGUGCCCGUGACUAUCUCGUGCCAUCACGUGUUCAGCCAGGGACAUUUUAUGCUUUACCUCAAAGUCCACAGUUGUUCAAGCAAAUGCUGAUGGUCUCUGGAUUUGAGAGAUAUUAUCAGUUAGCAAGGUGCUUCCGUGAUGAAGAUCUAAGAGCAGAUAGGCAACCUGAGUUUACACAGCUGGAUAUGGAAUUGGCUUUUACACCUUUGGAGGAGAUGCUGAAACUUAAUGAGGAUUUGAUUAGACAUCUCUUUCAAGAGAUAGCCGGUAUACAACUUCCAAAUCCUUUUCCGAGGCUUACAUAUGCUGAAGCAAUGAGUCGAUAUGGUUCAGAUAGACCAGAUCUUCGCUUUGAUUUGGAACUAAGAGAUGUUAGUGACAUUUUUUCAGGAUAUAAUUUCAAGGUUUUUGCGGAUUCAUUAGAAAAUGGAGGCAUUAUAAAAGUGUUGUGUUUGCCUUCAGGUGCCAAAAAGUUUUCAAACACAGCCCUCAAAAAGGGUGAUAUCUAUAAUGAAGCAAUUAAAGCUGGAGCAAAGGGCUUGCCAUUUCUCAAAGUUUUGGAUAAUGGUGAGCUUGAAGGAAUCCCAGCUUUAACAUCAAGUCUAGAACUUGAAGAUAGGGCACAGUUGCUGAAACGUUGCUCUGCAAAGGCAGGUGAUCUUAUAUUGUUCGCAGUAGGUCACCAUACAAUGGUUAACAAGACACUCAACAGACUCAGAUUAUUUGCUGCCCAUGAAAUGGGGUUAAUUGACUGUUUCUCGCAUUCGAUUCUGUGGAUAAUCGACUUUCCAAUGUUUGAGUGGAAUGAGUCAGAACAGAGACAUGAGGUGUUUCUUGAUUGAUUGUUUCAACAGGCCCUUCACCACCCUUUCACUGCACCAAAUCCUGAAGACAUGGAUGAUCUUUCUUCAGCUCGUGCUUUGGCUUAUGACAUGGUCUAUAAUGGAGUUGAGAUUGGUGGGGGAAGUUUGAGAAUUUUUAAACGCGAAAUACAAGAAAAAGUAUUGGAAAUUGUCGGUAUCUCCCCUGAGCAGGCUGAAGAAAAAUUUGGUUAUCUACUGGAGUGUCUUGACAUGGGGGCUCCUCCACAUGGUGGAAUUGCCUAUGGCUUGGAUCGGCUGGUGAUGCUUGUGGCUGGUGCAAAUUCUAUUCGAGAUGUUAUAGCUUUUCCAAAGACCACAACUGCCCAAUGUGCACUUACUAAUGCGCCAUCAAAGGUUGACCCACAGCAACUGAAGGACCUGUCUUUUCCUACCUCAUAGAACAUGAUAUUAUACCGUUUUCACCAGUUUGUUUUAUUCUUGUUCUGUAAUAAUUGUUAUAACCAGAUGCCAUCAUACGAGAGGUCAAAGUCCCUUCUUCUUUUUUUUUUUUUUCCUUCUUUUUUUGCACAUUCUCAUAUUUUUAAGAGAACCAUUUUCAUGCUGUGUAGAAGGGCUUUUGUUGUGAGAAUGGCAGCGACAGAACCAUUCCUUUCUAUUUAUUAAGAUAUUAAUUUGUGCUUCUUUACUGAUGCUAGAUUGCGAACCUGAUAUCUUCAUGUUUAA